UUGCACAUGGAAAUGUCUGCUUCUCAUUCCUUUGUGGGCAGGAAUAUGUUCCUAACUUGCUACAUUAAAAAAGUCGUUCUCAGGGCUUCCAACUUCACAGUGGAGGUUGGUUGGUAGUAUAUUUUUCUUACAAAA